rnacentral:tRNA from 1 species
GGCCUCGUGGCGCAAUGGCAGCGCGUCUGACUCCAGAUCAGAAGGCUGGGUGUUCGAGUCACUCCGGGGUCA